rnacentral:rRNA from 1 species
GACGAACGCUGGCGGCGUGCUUAACACAUGCAAGUCGAGCGGUAAGGCCCUUUCGGGGUACGACGAGCGGCGAACGGGUAGAGUAACACGUGGGUGACCUCGCCCUCCAGCUCUGGGAGUAAGCCUGGGAAACGUGGGUCUAAUACUGGAUAUGACUCCACGGUGCAUGUCGUGGGGUGGAAAGCCUUGUGCGGCUGAGGAUGGGCCCGCGGCCUAUCAGCUUGUUGGUGGGGUGAUGGCCUACCAAGGCGACGACGGGUAGCCGGCC